rnacentral:rRNA from 1 species
AGAGUUUGAUCAUGGCUCAGAAUCAACGCUGGCGGCGUGCCUCAGACAUGCAAGUCGAACGCGAAAGAAGCCUUCGGGCUUCAAGUAGAGUGGCGUCCGGGUGAGUAACACGUAGGUAAUCUACCUUCGGGUGGGGAAUAACCCAGGGAAACUUGGGCUAAUACCGCAUAAUGCAGCGGCACCACAUGGUGACAGUUGUUAAAGCGGGGGAUUUUCGGACCUCGCGCCUGAAGAGGAGCCUGCGGCAGAUUAGCUAGUUGGUAAGGUAACGGCUUACCAAGGCGACGAUCUGUAGCCGGCCUGAGAGGGCGGUCGGCCACACUGACACUGACAUACGGGUCAGACUCCUACGGGAGGCAGCAGUCGGGAAUUUUGGGCAAUGGGCGAAAGCCUGACCCAGCAACGCCGCGUGAAGGAUGAAAUCCUUCGGGAUGUAAACUUCGCAAGAAUGGGAAGAAUGAACGAGCGCUAACACCGUUCGUGAUGACGGUACCAUUUGUAAGCUCCGGCUAACUCCGUGCCAGCAGCCGCGGUAAUACGGGGGGAGCAAGCGUUGUUCGGAUUUACUGGGCGUAAAGGGCGCGUAGGCGGUCAGCGCAAGUCAGUUGUGAAAUCUCCGGGCUUAACUCGGAACGGUCAACUGAUACUGCGCGGCUAGAGUGCGGAAGGGGCAACUGGAAUUCUCGGUGUAGCGGUGAAAUGCGUAGAUAUCGAGAGGAACACCUGCGGCGAAAGGCGGGUUGCUGGGCCGACACUGACGCUGAUGUGCGAAAGCCAGGGGAGCGAACGGGAUUAGAUACCCCGGUAGUCCUGGCCUUAAACGAUGGAUGCUUGGUGUCUGGAGUUUUAUAGUCUCCGGGUGCCGCAGCUAACGCGUUAAGCAUCCCGCCUGGGGGAGUACGGGUCGCAAAACUGAAACCCAAA